ACAAAAGAGGGAUUCCAACAAUCAGAACAAAGGCUUUUUAUUUGUUAUUUUUACUACAAUGGGCGGGACAAAGGAUCGCGAUCUCGUGAGGGUGAGCUAACUCCAAAAAUCUGUCCUCGGUUCGGAUUGUAGGUUGCAACUCGUUUGCAUGAAGUAGGAAUCGCUAGUAAUCACCGGUUAGCCAUACGGUGGUGAAUCCGU
rnacentral:rRNA from 1 species